rnacentral:rRNA from 1 species
AGUGAACGCUGGCGGUAGGCCUAACACAUGCAAGUCGAACGGCAGCACAGUAAGAGCUUGCUCUUACGGGUGGCGAGUGGCGGACGGGCGAGGAAUACAUCGGAAUCUACUUUUUCGUGGGGGAUAACGCAGGGAAACUUACGCUAAUACCGCAUACGACCUACGGGUGAAAGCAGGGGAUCUUCGGACCUUGCGCGAUUGAAUGAGCCGAUGUCGGAUUAGCUAGUUGGCGGGGUAAAGGCCCACCAAGGCGACGAUCCGUAGCUGGUCUGAGAGGAUGAUCAGCCACACUGGAACUGAGACACGGUCCAGACUCCUACGGGAGGCAGCAGUGGGGAAUAUUGGACAAAGGGCGCAAGCCUGAUCCAGCCAUACCGCGUGGGUGAAGAAGGCCUUCGGGUUGUAAAGCCCUUUUGUUGGGAAAGAAAACCAGCAGGUUAAUACCCCGCUGUUCUGACGGUACCCAAAGAAUAAGCACCGGCUAACUUCGUG